UACGUAGGGUGCGAGCGUUGCCCGGAAUUACUGGGCGUAAAGAGCUCGUAGGUGGUUGGUCACGUCUGCUGUGGAAACGCAACGCUUAACGUUGCGCGGGCAGUGGGUACGGGCUGACUAGAGUGCAGUAGGGGAGUCUGGAAUUCCUGGUGUAGCGGUGAAAUGCGCAGAUAUCAGGAGGAACACCGGUGGCGAAGGCGGGACUCUGGGCUGUGACUGACACUGAGGAGCGAAAGCAUGGGGAGCGAACAGGAUUA
rnacentral:rRNA from 1 species